rnacentral:lncRNA from 7 species
GUACCGCAGCCGCUGCCCUACACCGCCUCCGUGGGGCCGCCCGGCACGGGGCCUCCAACCGCCGCCCAACAGCCGCCCAAGGACUACGUGGUGGAGUCGGUGCUGGUGACGGUGUUCUGCUGCCUGCUGACCGGGCUCGCCGCCCUCCUCUAUUCACACGAGACCCGCGCUGCGCUCAGCCGUGGGGACGUGGCCCAGGCCCAGGCGGCGUCCAAGAAGGCGCAGUCUCUGGUGCUGCUCAGCCUCGUCCUGGGGCUGUUCGUCUCCUUCAGUUGGGUCGUCUACGUCCUGGUGGCUCUGUAUUGGUGACGGGGCCGCAGGGACACGGAGCGCACAGCCCAGUGCCAUUGGUGAGGAGCAGCCGCCGGGCGAUGCCAGCACCGAGCCCAGCAGCCGCGUGCAGCAGCGGUCCCUGCACCGGAGAGCUCAGUGACUCUAUUGGGGCUGACAGUGGGAGCCGCACAACGCUGCGGGCAGCAGCACAGCUCCGGGUCACAGCGGGACGCGUGGCUCCGUGCAGGGCUGGGAAUGGAGCAAACGGCCCCGCAGUGCGCAGCCACAGCGGGCGGCUCUGCAUGGGCCGCUCUGGGCGUGCGAGCGCAUGAGAAGUCCCCCUGGUAAUUAGGAAUGUGCAAAGAUUCCCUACAUAUUUUAGCUUCCACAGCAAUCCUGCAUGCACAGCUGUGCUGCAUCGCCUCCUCCUCGCCGCUUCGUUUUAAAUAAAGCACACACAG